AUGGCCUGGGCCCCUCCCUUCCUUGUGCUGCUCGCCAAUGGCUCAGGUUCCCUGGUCCAGGCAGCGCUGACUCAGCCUUCCUCGGUGUCAACGAACCCGGGAGAAACCAUCCAGAUCACCUGCUCCGGGCUUUACAGCAGCAGCAAUGUUGGCUGGUACCAGCAGAAGACACCUGGCAGUGCCCCUGUCACUGUGAUCUAUGGUAGCACCAACAGACCCUCUGGCAUCCCUUCACGAUUCUCCGGAUCCAAGUCUGGCACCACAGGCACAUUAACCAUCACUGGGGUCCAAGCCAAGUAUGAGCCUGUCUAUUACUGCGGUAGCUACGACAGCAGCAGUGCUGGUCUGUGUGCUGGAGACCCUGGGUAA